GUUAACACUUCUAUUAACUAAAUAACAGUAGUUAAUAUCUCUAUCCCUACAUUUAUCAGAUUGAAUUUCAUGUACCUAUUUAUUUUGUUCCCUGUGUUGUGUGCUCCUUUAAAGACAGUUUAUUGUUCAUAUUUGCUGCCCUAAAGAUUAGCAAAGAACCCAGCAACAAUAUGUUUGUUGAAUGAAUGAAUGAAGCAAAGUUAAAAGAUGAUGAGUCUCACCAGGUAUUUUAUUUCAGCAUUUCUUUGUAAAAUGGAAUCCCUGUUGAAGUGAAACUUUAAUGUUUUGUUUUAAUAAAGAAAAUUCCAUUUAGGAGGAGCUGUUGUUUCUGGAUUUUAGACAUGAAAUCAGUCAUUUACAUUUGGGGCAGACAUUCUACCUGUGUUCUGGGAAUAUUGCCUGAAUGGUCUAUAGUUACAGGAAUGCACAUAUGUGUACACAAUUGCCCCCAGAGAAAAUGUGACUUGGGAGUUAUGAAUGAGGAAGAGCCAGUUGUGAAUAAAAAAUGUAUAUUUUUACAAACAGGUGUUUAAUUACAGGUUAGGGAGCUGUAGAGCAUCAGCUGUUCAUAGCAAACUGAAACUCUCUCUAUAAGAACAUGCUAGUCCCAUGCUGGUCAGGACAGGCACCCACCUUAGCGUUCCUGACACCAUCAUGGCCAUACGGUCACACACAGCCUCAGCCUCUGACAUGUAAUGGGUGGUCAAGACGGUGCCCCUCUCCUUGUUUUUAACGGUAGCCUGAAGUAUCUGCCUAAAGAUAAAGUAAGGGAUUGUUUGCAUUUAGAAAGUAAUUUGGGGAAAUAGAUAAAUAGAAAAAAGCAGGAAAUCUAAAGAGAAAAUGUUAUGUUAGGAUGCAAGAAACCUGUGCAACAUGGUGAAACCCCAUCUCCACAAAAAAAUUUAAAAAUUAGCCAGGCAUGGUGGCACAUGCCUGUGGUCCCAGCUGCUUGGGAGGCUGAGAUGAGUGGAUCACUUAAGCCCAGGAGGUCGAGGCUGCAGUGAGCUGUGAUUGCACCACCGCAUUCCAGCCUGGGUGAUGGAGCAAGACCCUGUGUCAAGUAAUACAAUUAAGUAAAUAAAUAAAUAAAUAAAUAAAUAAAUAGGCUACAAGAGAAAAUCUUUGCCAUAGAGAAAAAGAAUAAAAAUUGUGUUAUAUUGCCUAAUGAUAGUACCAUAUUAAUAGGCUUCAUAAAAAAGAAGAGUAUUGGUUAAAAUAAUGCACUAUUGGGGAAGAAAAGUAGAAAAGUUGGAGUAAAAAAUACAAAAAUAUCAUACUAUAUGACUUUCAAUAAUUGAAAAAUGAAAUGGAAAAAUAAAAAGACAGGGGGAAGAGGAAUAAGAAAGAGAAAUCCAAACAAAUAUAAUCAAGAGUUUAUUUGGGUCUUAAAAUAUCUAUUUUUUCCCUCCUGCAGGAAUUUUGAAUGCUAUAUUAGGUUUCACUGAAUUACAUAAUAGAAGAUGUGCACAU
rnacentral:lncRNA from 1 species